CUCUCUCUCUCUGUCUCUCUCUCUCUGUCUCUCUCUCUCUCUCUCUCUCUCUCUCUCUCUCUCUCUCUCUCUGUCUCUGUCUCUAACCUUCAGGUGCCAUAUGGUCCCUUAUUGUAAACACCUUUACCUGGUGACAUUGACACAGAGUCCCAGAAACAUGACUAGUGAAGUCUGCUGUGGUCUGUCAAACACACACCUUGUGAUUGAAGUGACCCCAACACGUACUGGUAACAUGUCAAACACACACCUUGUGAUAAGCCUGUAGAAGUUACCCCAGUAUGUAGAAGUUACCCCAGUAUGGUUUGGUACAUAAGCCUGUAGAAGGUCCCCCAGUAUGUAGAAGUUACCCCAGUAUGGUGGGGUACAUAAGCCUGUAGAAGGUACCCCAGUAUGUAGAAGUUGCCCCAGUAUGGUGGGGUACAUAAGCCUGUAGAAGGUACCCCAGUAUGGUGGGGUACAUAAGCCUGUAGAAGGUACCCCAGUAUGGUGGGGUACAUAAGCCUGUAGAAGGUACCCCAGUAUGGUGGGGUACAUAAGCCUGUAGAAGGUACCCCAGUAUGGUGGGGUACAUAAGCCUGUAGAAGGUACCCCAGUAUGUAUCAGUGACAUCACUGAACUGGUAACUACACUGUAAAUCAGUGACAUCACUGAACUGGUAACUACACUGUAAAUCAGUGACAUCACUGAACUGGCUCUCCAACUGUCUACACCCUCACACUGUCUGUUAGAUUAUAUCUGUCUACCCUAGCAACAUGGCCUCUCUAUCUAUCUCUCCGUCUACACCCUCACACUGUCUGUUAGAUUAUAUCUGUCUACCCUAGCAACAUGGCCUCUCUAUCCAUCUCUCCGUCUACACCCUCACACUGUCUGUUAGAUUAUAUCUGUCUACCCUAGCAACAUGGCCUCUCUAUCUAUCUCUCCGUCUACACCCUCACACUGUCUGUUAGAUUAUAUCUGUCUACCCUAGCAACAUGGCCUCUCUAUCUAUCUCUCCGUCUACACCCUCACACUGUCUGUUAGAUUAUAUCUGCUACCCUAGCAACAUGGCCUCUCUAUCUAUCUCUCCGUCUACACCCUCACACUGUCUGUUAGAUUAUAUCUGUCUACCCUAGCAACAUGGCCUCUCUAUCCAUCUCUCCGUCUACACCCUCACACUGUCUGUUAGAUUAUAUCUGUCUACCCUAGCAACAUGGCCUCUCUAUCCAUCUCUCCGUCUACACCCUCACACUGUCUGUUAGAUUAUAUCUGUCUACCCUAGCAACAUGGCCUCUCUAUCUAUCUCUCCAACUGUCUACACCCUCACACUGUCUGUUAGAUUAUAUCUGUCUACCCUAGCAACAUGGCCUCUCUAUCCAUCUCUCCGUCUACACCCUCACACUGUCUGUUAGAUUAUAUCUGUCUACCCUAGCAACAUGGCCUCUCUAUCUAUCUCUCCAACUGUCUACACCCUCACACUGUCUGUUAGAUUAUAUCUGUCUACCCUAGCAACAUCUCCAACGGUUGUCAACAGUAGCAGACAGGAACACGGUCAUACUAACUGACAACAACACCCUGACACUCCUCUUCCUGUCCAGUGCUGUGUUCAAAGGAGAUUGUAGAACGAAGGCCUUGCCCAGUUUGUUGGAUGUGGUGAGUAUGUGCAGGUGUGUGAGUGAGUGAAAUCUCUGUUGACUCCUCCCAUUGAAACUGAGAGCAGCACAUUAUCUAUCUGGUCUGAAAUACAUGUUUAAAUAAAUACUCUGAAUGACUUCCCGAGACAGAGAGAUAUUUAAAUAAACACCCAUACCCCUCCUCCUCCUAGUUCCCACCUCCAGCCAGCCCACCAGCCA
ensembl:lncRNA